GACGUAGGGCGCGAGCGUUGUCCGGAUUUAUUGAGCGUAAAGAGCUCGUAGGCGGCUUGUCGCGUCGUCCGUGAAAACCUGGGGCUCAACCCCAGGCUUGCGGUCGAUACGGGCAGGCUAGAGUUCGGUAGGGGAGACUGGAAUUCCUGGUGUAGCGGUGAAAUGCGCAGAUAUCAGGAGGAACACCGGUGGCGAAGGCGGUUCUCUGGGCCUGUACUGACGCUGAGGAACGAAAGCGUGGGGAGCGAACAGG
rnacentral:rRNA from 1 species